rnacentral:rRNA from 1 species
UACGUAGGGUGCAAGCGUUGUCCGGAAUUAUUGGGCGUAAAGGGCUCGUAGGCGGUCCAUCGCGUCGGGAGUGAAAAGCUGGGGCUUAACCCCAGUCCUGCUUCCGAUACGGGUGGACUAGAGGUAGGCAGGGGAGAACGGAAUUCCGUGGUGUAGCGGGUGAAAUGCGUAGAUAUCGAGAGGAACACCUGCGGCGAAGGCGGGUUGCUGGGCUGACACUGACGCUGAGAGACGAAAAGCUAGGGGGAGCAAAAUGGGG